AAUCCAUAGGUUAAUGAGGCGAACCGGGGGAACUGAAACAUCUAAGUACCCCGAGGAAAAGAAAUCAACCGAGAUUCCCCCAGUAGCGGCGAGCGAACGGGGAGGAGCCCAGAGCCUGAAUCAGCAUGUGUGUUAGUGGAAGCGUCUGGAAAGGCGCGCGAUACAGGGUGACAGCCCCGUACACAAAAGCGCAUGUGCUGUGAGCUCGAUGAGUAGGGCGGGACACGUGGUAUCCUGUCUGAAUAUGGGGGGACCAUCCUCCAAGGCUAAAUACUCCUGACUGACCGAUAGUGAACCAGUACCGUGAGGGAAAGGCGAAAAGAACCCCGGCGAGGGGAGUGAAAAAGAACCUGAAACCGUGUACGUACAAGCAGUGGGAGCCCCACCACCAAAGCAUUUGCUGUACCGCGUUGACGGAGCGAAGCGACGUCAAACCGAUAAAACAGCAGUGUAAAGUGAGCCGCAGGGCGCUUUGCGCGACAGCGCAAAGGCAGGCGGUUUCGCGUAGCGAAAGCGAAUGCUUUGGGGUGGGGUGACUGCGUACCUUUUGUAUAAUGGGUCAGCGACUUAUAUUCUGUAGCAAGGUUAACCGAAUAGGGGAGCCGGAGGGAAACCGAGUCUUAAUUGGGCGUUAAGUUGCAGGGUAUAGACCCGAAACCCGGUGAUCUAGCCAUGGGCAGGUUGAAGGUUGGGUAACACUAACUGGAGGACCGAACCGACUAAUGUUGAAAAAUUAGCGGAUGACCUGUGGCUGGGGGUGAAAGGCCAAUCAAACCGGGAGAUAGCUGGUUCUCCCCGAAAGCUAUUUAGGUAGCGCCUCGUGAAUUCAUCUCCGGGGGUAGAGCACUGUUUCGGCUAGGGGGCCAUCCCGGCUUACCAACCCGAUGCAAACUGCGAAUACCGGAGAAUGUUAUCACGGGAGACACACGGCGGGUGCUAACGUCCGUCGUGAAGAGGGAAACAACCCAGACCGCCAGCUAAGGUCCCAAAGUCAUGGUUAAGUGGGAAACGAUGUGGGAAGGCCCAGACAGCCAGGAUGUUGGCUUAGAAGCAGCCAUCAUUUAAAGAAAGCGUAAUAGCUCACUGGUCGAGUCGGCCUGCGCGGAAGAUGUAACGGGGCUAAACCAUGCACCGAAGCUGCGGCAGCGACGCUUAUGCGUUGUUGGGUAGGGGAGCGUUCUGUAAGCCUGCGAAGGUGGCCUGUGAGGGUUGCUGGAGGUAUCAGAAGUGCGAAUGCUGACAUAAGUAACGAUAAAGCGGGUGAAAAGCCCGCUCGCCGGAAGACCAAGGGUUCCUGUCCAACGUUAAUCGGGGCAGGGUGAGUCGACCCCUAAGGCGAGGCCGAAAGGCGUAGUCGAUGGGAAACGGGUUAAUAUUCCCGUACUUGGUGUUACUGCGAAGGGGGGACGGAGAAGGCUAUGUUGGCCGGGCGACGGUUGUCCCGGUUUAAGCGUGUAGGUGUGUGUUCCAGGUAAAUCCGGUUCACUUUAACACUGAGGCGUGAUGACGAGGCACUACGGUGCUGAAG
rnacentral:rRNA from 1 species